ACUGGAGUUGGAGCCAGUCGUCCCCGCUCAUGCGCAGAGUGGCAGAGAGACAAAGGUUUCCAUUAUCUGUGCUUAUGUUAGAUUGAACAGCUGUGGUGUAUAUGAAUUUCGUUUCAAAAUUUGAUGGAUAACGUUUCCGAGGCAUCAUUCAUGUGGGAAAAUGUUCAGUGAAUGUGGAUACAUCAUAUAUCUUCUCCUGUUGAUUCCCUACAUUGAGAGUGCCCAGCGCGCUCAGCGCCUGAACGAGUACGUAUCCCACUUCGAGGGGCUCCAAUACGACACGGACCAUGUCCACCGGAGCCACCUCCGCGCCAAACGUUCGGUGACGACCGAGGACGCCGUGCACCUCAAGUUCCGGUCGCACGGCCGCUUCUUCCACCUGCGCCUCAAACGAGACCUGGAGACUUUCGACGACAAUGUGGAGAUAGUGGGCAGCUCCGGCCGCCCCGAGAGAGUGGACCUGUCCCACAUUUACUCGGGACACAUUCAAGGGGAACCGGGGAGCCAAGUUUUUGGUUCUGUCUCCGAUGGAGUUUUUCAUGGAAAGAUCAUAUCUCCCCGUGAUGGUGACUUCUAUGUGGAGAAGGCGCAUUAUUACUUCCCCAAAGAAGCCAACAACACCUUUCACUCAGUCAUCUAUCACUCAAAAGAUGUCAAUGAUCCUUAUGCUGAAAGGCGCUCAGGACACAGUAGCGGUUGUGGUGUAACAGACCACUGGAUGGAACAGGUGCAAAAUUCUUUUGUUCCUGAAGAGCCAGCACAAGCUCCUUCAAAAUUAAAGCAUAAGAAGGUAAAAAGUACUUCAAGGGGAAGCAAUGAUGUCAGAAAACCACCUCCACCAUCUCAAAAGCCAACAGAUCAAUUCCGGUUUCAGUAUGAGACUCCAUUUGAGAAGUAUUCAAAGGAAAUGAAUGAUCAUAGCCGCACAAAAAGAGCUGCACAAGCAAAAGAGGAAAUCAAAAAUACUUGUUCACUCUUUAUUCAAACAGAUCCUCUCAUCUGGAGGCAUAUCCGUGAUCAGGUUGGAAACAAUCCAGAGAAAAUUCGGGAGGAGAUUUCAUCGCUUAUUGCACACCAUGUAACAGCAGUUAAUUAUAUUUACCGAGAUACUAGAUUUGAUGGCCGAAUGGAACAUCGAAAUAUUAAAUUUUUUGUCCAGAGAAUUAAGAUCGAUGAUGAUGCAUCAUGCAAGACUAACAUCUCAAAAUUUGAGCCUAGCCCAUUUUGUAUGGAAAACAUAGAUGUGAGCAAUUUCCUAAAUCUUCAUUCCUUAGGAGAUCAUGAGCUCUUCUGCCUUGCUUAUGUUUUUACCUACAGAGACUUCACAGGGGGCACCCUUGGUCUAGCAUGGGUAGCAUCUGCUUCAGGUGCCUCUGGAGGUAUUUGUGAAAAACACAAAAUGUACACAGAAACUGUUGGGGGAACCUAUCAGUCCACCAAACGCAGUUUGAACACUGGCAUUAUUACUUUUGUCAACUAUAAUAGCCGUGUGCCUCCUAAAGUAUCCCAACUAACACUAGCUCAUGAAAUUGGGCACAAUUUUGGGUCUCCACAUGAUUAUCCACACGACUGUAGACCUGGUGGUUUGGAUGGCAACUAUAUCAUGUUUGCAUCGGCCACUAGUGGUGAUCGUCCCAACAAUAGCAAGUUUUCACACUGCAGUGUUGGAAACAUAAGUAAUGUUUUAGAUGCAAUAUUUGAGAAUAAAAAGAAGAACUGCUUCCAAACUUCUAAGGGGGCAUUCUGUGGAAACAAAAUUGUGGAGGCUGGAGAAGAAUGUGAUUGUGGCUAUGAUGAAAAAGAAUGUAAGGAUCAUUGCUGCUACCCUCGUUUGAUAUCUGAAGAAGAUCAUAAGCUAAAUAAAAGUGCAGUGAUGUGUAAGAGGAGAGCUAAUACUCAGUGCAGCCCCAGUCAAGGUCCCUGUUGCUCAGGAGAUACUUGCUCUUUCGUCCCGCAAAGCUUUAACCAAGAGUGCAGAGCUGAAACCAACUGUAGUUGGAAUUCUCAUUGUGAUGGCAGAAGUGCUGAGUGUCCUGAUCCUUCUCAUAAAGCCAACAAAACCCGGUGCAAUGAAGAUACACAGUUGUGUAUUAAUGGUGAGUGUUCUGGGUCCAUCUGUCUGGAGUGGAACCUCACUGAGUGUUUCUUAACAUCAUCACUUAUACCCAACAUUGACAAGCGUCAGUUAUGUGUACUGGCUUGUCAAAAUGGUACAAAUGUAACUUCAUGUAGAAGUACUAGUGAAUUUGCCCACCAGGUGGGCCUUCCUCCUGGUGGCAUAAGCCUGAGACCAGGCUCGCCCUGUGAUAAUUUUCAGGGAUAUUGUGAUGUCUUUUAUAAAUGCCGUGCUGUAGAUGCUGAAGGUCCUCUAGCACGGCUGAAGAAUAUGCUUUUCAAUAAGCAAACAUUACUUUCUGUAGCCCAGUGGAUUACAGAAUAUUGGUGGGCUGUCCUUCUUAUGGGUAUCACCUUCAUCAUCUUUAUGGCCAUUUUUAUCAAGUGCUGUGCUGUGCACACACCAUCUUCUAAUCCAAAGAAACCACCAGCUAGACGUUUUUCAGAAACUCUGAGGAGACCAAUGAACACACUUAGGAGAAUGCGGGGACCACAGGGCAGAGGGCCUAGUUCAGGAGGGGGGCAUCAUGUUAGACAGGGCCACAGCAGGGCGCCUGCCCAUGGUUAUGGAGAGGGUCGAGGCCAAUACUAUGCACCCAAAGCAUCGGCACCGCCAGCGGGGUACAGCAGGGCAAACCAUGGUGAGCUUUAUGCCGGAGCAUACAGUAGCUCGAGCUCUGGACCAUCGUCACGUAAUGCCAAUGCCUUCGAGAUGCGUCACCACAAAGUCUGAUAGGUCAACCAAUUACCAUCUUGUUCCAGACCAUAGCCACCACCGGCUAGCCGGCAGGUGUUUGAUGUCUGGAAAUCCAAGCAACCAGUUACCUACUGUGGACCAACACCAUGGUUACCACCGGUCUUCAUAACUACCAAAAGUGGGUUGUUGGGAAGAUCCAUUUUAUCAUCUCUCCUGUUGUGUGUGCUAC
rnacentral:misc_RNA from 1 species